CUUGAGUUCCCUCUGAACUUGGAUAUUUGGGGGCUGACCCUUCCACACUGCACUAUGAUCUAAUUCUGCAAUGUCUUUAUUGAUAAAACCAGUGUCCUUUCUUUUAAAACCAGUACACCUAUUGUUGGAUAUCAUGCCUAUAGGUCUCAGCUAGGCAAGCCAUUAGGUGAUUAAUCAAUUGUGUCAGUUCUUAAUAAAUUACAACUAAACCAAGCUUAGUUCGAAC
rnacentral:lncRNA from 1 species